CCUACGGGUGGCAGCAGUGAGGAAUAUUGGUCAAUGGCCGUAAGGCUGAACCAGCCAAGUCGCGUGAAGGAUGAAGGCUCUAUGGGUUGUAAACUUCUUUUAUAGGGGAAUAAAGGUAGCCACGUGUGCAUAUUUGUAUGUACCCUAUGAAUAAGCAUCGGCUAACUCCGUGCCAGCAGCCGCGGUAAUACGGAGGAUCCGAGCGUUAUCCGGAUUUAUUGGGUUUAAAGGGUGCGUAGGUUGGUUUUUAAGUCAGCGGUGAAAGUUUGUGGCUCAACCAUAAAAUUGCCGUUGAUACUGGCAGACUUGAGUGUGUUUGAGGUAGGCGGAAUGCGUGGUGUAGCGGUGAAAUGCAUAGAUAUCACGCAGAACUCCGAUUGCGAAGGCAGCUUACUAAGCCAUAACUGACACUGAAGCUCGAAAGCGUGGGGAUCAAACAGGAUUAGAUACCCGAGUAGUC
rnacentral:rRNA from 1 species